AUUCAAGCAUUGAACGAGAGAGUAGAUCUGGUAAAGCCGUUUAGAGAGACCUUGUUGCUGAAAAAAGGUUCGGUUUGCCAGAUUGAAGGUAGCUCGCGAGCAGAAUUGCUGAAAGCAAGUAGGCAGUUCCGGUUCAUGGCCGAUAUCCCAUGUUUGAGUGGAAGCCUGUCUUUGGAUGGGUUUCAAUUUAGGUGGUACCGCGAGCAGACUCGUCCUAAUU
rnacentral:ncRNA from 2 species